rnacentral:rRNA from 1 species
GACGGAGGGUGCUAGCGUUGUUCGGAAUCACUGGGCGUAAAGGGCGCGUAGGCGGCGCCGCAAGUCGGCUGUGAAAGCCCGGGGCCCAACCCCGGAGGUGCAGCCGAGACUGUGGUGCUGGAGGCCGGAAGAGGAGGGUGGAAUACCCAGUGUAGAGGUGAAAUUCGUAGAUAUUGGGUGGAACACCGGUGGCGAAAGAGGCUCUCGGGUCCGGUCCUGACUCUGAGGCGCGAAAGCGUGGGGAGCAAACAGG